rnacentral:rRNA from 1 species
ACUCCUACGGGAGGCAGCAGUGGGGAAUUUUGGACAAUGGGCGAAAGCCUGAUCCAGCAAUGCCGCGUGUGUGAAGAAGGCCUUCGGGUUGUAAAGCACUUUUGUCCGGAAAGAAAUCCUUGGCUCUAAUACAGUCGGGGGAUGACGGUACCGGAAGAAUAAGCACCGGCUAACUACGUGCCAGCAGCCGCGGUAAUACGUAGGGUGCGAGCGUUAAUCGGAAUUACUGGGCGUAAAGCGUGCGCAGGCGGUUUGCUAAGACCGAUGUGAAAUCCCCGGGCUCAACCUGGGAACUGCAUUGGUGACUGGCAGGCUAGAGUAUGGCAGAGGGGGGUAGAAUUCCACGUGUAGCAGUGAAAUGCGUAGAGAUGUGGAGGAAUACCGAUGGCGAAGGCAGCCCCCUGGGCCAAUACUGACGCUCAUGCACGAAAGCGUGGGGAGCAAACAGGAUUAGAAACCCUUGUAGUCCCAUG